rnacentral:rRNA from 1 species
GAUGAACGCUAGCUACAGGCCUAACACAUGCAAGUCGAGGGGAAACGGCAGCUUAGCUUGCUAAGCUGGACGUCGACCGGCGCACGGGUGAGUAACGCGUAUCCAACCUGCCCCACGGUGAGGGAUAACCCGCGGAAACGCGGCCUAAUACCUCAUGGCCUCCGAGCUUGACAUCAAUCUUGGAGUAAAGAUUCAUUGCCGUGGGAUGGGGAUGCGUCUGAUUAGCUUGUUGGCGGGGCAACGGGCCCACCAAGGCAACGAUCAGUAGGGGUUCUGAGAGGAAGGUCCCCCANAUUGGAACUGAGACACGGUCCAAACUCCUACGGGAGCAGCAGUGAGGAAUAUUGGUCAAUGGGCGAGAGUCCUGAACCAGCCAAGUAGCGUGCAGGAAGACGG